AGUGGUCAGGGUGCCGUGUCCUUGUUUCCUUAACCCUGCAAUGUGAAAGAGGCACAAUGUCAAGUCAGUUUAUAGAAUAGGGAGUCACUGAUUGGCUGAGAGCUUCAGCUGACCUCUCUCAGCCAAUCAUUUCCCCUCUUGCCCAGUGGCACUCUGUGCUUCCUGAAUCUGAAAUUCCAGGAGCCAGAAACCAUUUGGGGGGGGAGUGGACAUCACUGCUGGAGGC